rnacentral:rRNA from 1 species
GACGAACGCUGGCGGCGUGCUUAACACAUGCAAGUCGAACGGAAAGGCCCUGCUUGCAGGGUACUCGAGUGGCGAACGGGUGAGUAACACGUGGGUGAUCUGCCCUGCACUUCGGGAUAAGCCUGGGAAACUGGGUCUAAUACCGGAUAGGAGCCAUUUUUAGUGUGAGGGUUGGAAAGUUUUUUCGGUGUAGGAUGAGCUCGCGGCCUUUCAGCUUGUUGGUGGGGUAAGGGCCUACCAAGGCGGCGACGGGUAGCCGGCCUGGGAGGGUGGGCGGCCAACUUGGGGCCGGGGUACGGCCCAGACUCCUACGGGGGGCAACAGUGGGGAAUAUUUCCCCAUGGGCGGGAGCCUGAUUCAGCGACGCCGCGUGGGGGAUGACCGCCUUCCGGUUGUAAACUCCUUUCGCUAGGGACGAAGCUUUUUGUGACGGUACCUAGAUAAGAAGCACCGGCUAACUACGUG